AGGGAAUCUUCCACAAUGGACGAAAGUCUGAUGGAGCAACGCCGCGUGAGUGAAGAAGGUUUUCGGAUCGUAAAGCUCUGUUGUUGGUGAAGAAGGAUAGAGGCAGUAACUGGUCUUUAUUUGACGGUAAUCAACCAGAAAGUCACGGCUAACUACGUGCCAGCAGCCGCGGUAAUACGUAGGUGGCAAGCGUUGUCCGGAUUUAUUGGGCGUAAAGCGAGCGCAGGCGGAAUGAUAAGUCUGAUGUGAAAGCCCACGGCUCAACCGUGGAACUGCAUCGGAAACUGUCAUUCUUGAGUGCAGAAGAGGAGAGUGGAACUCCAUGUGUAGCGGUGGAAUGCGUAGAUAUAUGGAAGAACACCAGUGGCGAAGGCGGCUCUCUGGUCUGCAACUGACGCUGAGGCUCGAAAGCAUGGGUAGCGAACAGGAUUAGAUACCCUGGUAG
rnacentral:rRNA from 1 species